rnacentral:rRNA from 1 species
UACGUAGGGGGCAAGCGUUAUCCGGAUUUACUGGGUGUAAAGGGAGCGUAGACGGCGAUGCAAGCCAGAUGUGAAAGCCCGGGGCUCAACCCCGGGACUGCAUUUGGAACUGUAUAGCUAGAGUGUCGGAGAGGCAGGCGGAAUUCCUAGUGUAGCGGUGAAAUGCGUAGAUAUUAGGAGGAACACCAGUGGCGAAGGCGGCCUACUGGACGGUGACUGACGCUGAGGCUCGAAAGCGUGGGGAGCAAACAGG